rnacentral:rRNA from 1 species
AGCUCCAAUGGCGCAUAUUAAAGUUGUUGCAGUCAAAAAGCUCGUAGUUGGAUUUGUGGUUGACGCAAGGCUUCCGUCCCUCUUGGGUUUCGGUGUUGCCUGGCAUUGCCAUCCUUGGGUGGAAUCUGUGUGGCAUUGGGUUGUCGUGCAGGGGAUGCCCAUCGUUCACUGUGAAAAAAUUAGAGUGUUCAAAGCAGGCUCAUGCCGUUGAACAUGUUAGCAUGGAACAAUAAGACAGGACAUUGGUGCUGUUUUGUUGGUUUGCGCACCAAUGCAAUGGUCAAAAGGAACGGAUGGGGGCAUUCGCAUUCAGCUGUCAGAGGUGAAAUUCUUGGAUUUUCUGAAGACGAACUGCUGCGAAAGCAUUUGCCAAGGAUGUUUUCAUUA